UCAUGGUUAAGUGGGAAACGAUGUGGGAAGGCCCAGACAGCCAGGAUGUUGGCUUAGAAGCAGCCAUCAUUUAAAGAAAGCGUAAUAGCUCACUGGUCGAGUCGGCCUGCGCGGAAGAUGUAACGGGGCUAAACCAUGCACCGAAGCUGCGGCAGCGACACUGUGUGUUGUUGGGUAGGGGAGCGUUCUGUAAGCCUGUGAAGGUGUGUCGUGAGGCAUGCUGGAGGUAUCAGAAGUGCGAAUGCUGACAUAAGUAACGAUAAAGCGGGUGAAAAGCCCGCUCGCCGGAAGACCAAGGGUUCCUGUCCAACGUUAAUCGGGGCAGGGUGAGUCGACCCCUAAGGCGAGGCCGAAAGGCGUAGUCGAUGGGAAACGGGUUAAUAUUCCCGUACUUGGUGUUACUGCGAAGGGGGGACGGAGAAGGCUAUGUUGGCCGGGCGACGGUUGUCCCGGUUUAAGCGUGUAGGUGUGUGUUCCAGGUAAAUCCGGUUCACUUUAACACUGAGGCGUGACGACGAGGCACUACGGUGCUGAAGCAACAAAUGCCCUGCUUCCAGGAAAAGCCUCUAAGCAUCAGGUAACAUCAAAUCGUACCCCAAACCGACACAGGUGGUCAGGUAGAGAAUACCAAGGCGCUUGAGAGAACUCGGGUGAAGGAACUAGGCAAAAUGGUGCCGUAACUUCGGGAGAAGGCACGCUGACACGUAGGUGAAGUGAUUUACUCAUGGAGCUGAAGUCAGUCGAAGAUACCAGCUGGCUGCAACUGUUUAUUAAAAACACAGCACUGUGCAAACACGAAAGUGGACGUAUACGGUGUGACGCCUGCCCGGUGCCGGAAGGUUAAUUGAUGGGGUCAGCGCAAGCGAAGCUCCUGAUCGAAGCCCCGGUAAACGGCGGCCGUAACUAUAACGGUCCUAAGGUAGCGAAAUUCCUUGUCGGGUAAGUUCCGACCUGCACGAAUGGCGUAAUGAUGGCCAGGCUGUCUCCACCCGAGACUCAGUGAAAUUGAACUCGCUGUGAAGAUGCAGUGUACCCGCGGCAAGACGGAAAGACCCCGUGAACCUUUACUAUAGCUUGACACUGAACAUUGAGCCUUGAUGUGUAGGAUAGGUGGGAGGCUUUGAAGUGUGGACGCCAGUCUGCAUGGAGCCGACCUUGAAAUACCACCCUUUAAUGUUUGAUGUUCUAACGUGGACCCGUUACCCGGGUUGCGGACAGUGUCUGGUGGGUAGUUUGACUGGGGCGGUCUCCUCCUAAAGAGUAACGGAGGAGCACGAAGGUUGGCUAAUCCUGGUCGGACAUCAGGAGGUUAGUGCAAUGGCAUAAGCCAGCUUGACUGCGAGCGUGACGGCGCGAGCAGGUGCGAAAGCAGGUCAUAGUGAUCCGGUGGUUCUGAAUGGAAGGGCCAUCGCUCAACGGAUAAAAGGUACUCCGGGGAUAACAGGCUGAUACCGCCCAAGAGUUCAUAUCGACGGCGGUGUUUGGCACCUCGAUGUCGGCUCAUCACAUCCUGGGGCUGAAGUAGGUCCCAAGGGUAUGGCUGUUCGCCAUUUAAAGUGGUACGCGAGCUGGGUUUAGAACGUCGUGAGACAGUUCGGUCCCUAUCUGCCGUGGGCGCUGGAGAACUGAGGGGGGCUGCUCCUAGUACGAGAGGACCGGAGUGGACGCAUCACUGGUGUUCGGGUUGUCAUGCCAAUGGCACUGCCCGGUAGCUAAAUGCGGAAGAGAUAAGUGCUGAAAGCAUCUAAGCACGAAACUUGCCCCGA
rnacentral:rRNA from 1 species